rnacentral:rRNA from 1 species
UACGAAGGGUGCAAACGUUGCUCGGAAUCAUUGGGCGUAAAGCGCACGUAGGCGGCCUCCCAAGUCGGCUGUGAAAUCCCGUGGCUCAACCAUGGACGUGCAUUCGAAACUGCGAGGCUUGAGUAUGGAAGAGGGUCGCGGAAUUCCCGGUGUAGAGGUGAAAUUCGUAGAUAUCGGGAGGAACACCAGUGGCGAAGGCGGCGACCUGGGCCAAUACUGACGCUGAGGUGCGAAAGCGUGGGGAGCAAACAGG